AACCUUUACACUGCACGACAGUGCGAUAAGGGAAUCCCAAGUGCGUAGGCAUAGAGCCUACGCUUUUGUCCACCGUAGGGAGGUGGACGAAUAAGGGCUGGACAAGACCGGUGCCAGCCGCCGCGGUAAUACCGGCAGCCCGAGUGAUGGCCGAUCUUAUUGGGCCUAAAGCGUCCGUAGCUGGCCGCACAAGUCCAUCGGAAAAUCCACCCGCUCAACGGGUGGGCGUCCGGUGGAAACUGUGUGGCUUGGGACCGGAAGGCGCGACGGGUACGUCCGGGGUAGGAGUGAAAUCCCGUAAUCCUGGACGGACCGCCGAUGGCGAAAGCACGUCGCGAGAACGGAUCCGACAGUGAGGGACGAAAGCUAGGGUCUCGAACCGGAUUAGAUACCCGGGUAGUCCUAGCCGUAAACAAUGCCUGCUAGGUGUGGCUCCCACUACGAGUGGGUGCUGUGCCGUAGGGAAGCCGCUAAGCAGGCCGCCUGGGAAGUACGUCCGCAAGGAUGAAACUUAA
rnacentral:rRNA from 1 species